GUGCCAGCAGCCGCGGUAAUACGUAGGGUGCGAGCGUUGUCCGGAAUUACUGGGCGUAAAGAGCUCGUAGGUGGUUUGUCGCGUCGUCUGUGAAAUUCCGGGGCUUAACUCCGGGCGUGCAGGCGAUACGGGCAUAACUUGAGUACUGUAGGGGUAACUGGAAUUCCUGGUGUAGCGGUGAAAUGCGCAGAUAUCAGGAGGAACGCCGAUGGCGAAGGCAGGUUACUGGGCAGUUACUGACGCUGAGGAGCGAAAGCAUGGGUAGCGAACAGGAUUAGAUACCCUGGUAGUCCAUGCCGUAAACGGUGGGCGCUAGGUGUGAGGGUCUUUUCACGACUUUCGUGCCGUAGCUAACGCAUUAAGCGCCCCGCCUGGGGAGUACGGCCGCAAGGCUAAAACUCAAAGGAAUUGACGGGGGCCCGCACAAGCGGCGGAGCAUGUGGAUUAAUUCGAUGCAACGCGAAGAACCUUACCUGGGCUUGACAUACACCGGAUUGGGCUAGAGAUAGUCUUUCCCUUUGUGGUUGGUGUACAGGUGGUGCAUGGUUGUCGUCAGCUCGUGUCGUGAGAUGUUGGGUUAAGUCCCGCAACGAGCGCAACCCUUGUCUUGUGUUGCCAGCACGUUAUGGUGGGGACUCGCGAGAGACUGCCGGGGUUAACUCGGAGGAAGGUGGGGAUGACGUCAAAUCAUCAUGCCCCUUAUGUCCAGGGCUUCACACAUGCUACAAUGGUCGGUACAGUGGGUUGCGAUACCGUGAGGUGGAGCUAAUCCCUUAAAGCCGGUCUCAGUUCGGAUUGGAGUCUGCAACUCGACUCCAUGAAGUCGGAGUCGCUAGUAAUCGCAGAUCAGCAACGCUGCGGUGAAUACGUUCCCGGGCCUUGUACACACCGCCCGUCACGUCAUGAAAGUUGGUAACACCCGAAGCCAGUGGCUCAAACUUGUUAGGGAGCUGUCUAAGGUGGGAUCGGCGAUUGGGACGAAGUCGUAACAAGGUA
rnacentral:rRNA from 1 species